rnacentral:misc_RNA from 1 species
AUUCCGAUGUUGGCUAUUGCCAGGUGGGUAUUUAUGGGGUUAAACUUGUCUGAUUAUGAAGGGUGCAAAUGUAUAAACGUCAAGACCUAAGAGCAUACAACAGAAUAAUAGCAUGACAUUGGUGCACAAUUCUGUUACACAGCUUUUGCUACAGAGCAAAAUAAAUCUUGAUACGCAUUGCAUAUCCAAAGUUCUAUUUCCAUUCAAACUUCAUAUUAUAUAUGUUAGUUUUCAUCACAAAAGACAUGUCUUUUCAAAUAAUUUAGUAGUACAUGUUACUAAUGCCUUCAGAUUGCAGCAUACAAAUUUCAUAAGUAAUGUUUACUCUUCAUUUAAAUAUAUCCAAUCUUAUGCUUUACUCCUAAUCAUGACAUUGUUAUUAUGAUAUUCUCACAUAUUCAUAUUGUUAUGUUUAUAUCCUUAUGCUUCCUUAGUCAUCAUGACAUCAAAUCCAUCUAAAUCACUUGCCUAUCUGCAAAGCAUGGGCUGUUUUAUUGCUAUCAUAGAAUUCGUUCCUUUAGAUUUAUCAAUCACAAAAUAGCUGUAGUUGCUGAACCUCAGAAUCAUUGCUUCAAUUCUGGCACAUUGAGGAACAUGUAACACAUUUUCAAAAUUUUAGAAAUUUAGAGAUAUUAUGAAAGUAGCUUAGCCAAUUUGUUUUAUGGGAAGUAGAGCACCAUCACCUACUAAGAUUUAUCUGUUUGCUAUUCGAGAGGCAAAAAUGGGUUCCUGCUAACUGCUAACUCCUCCGGUAGGUAUCUAACUGCUAACUCCUCCGGUAGGUAUCUAACUGUCAACUAGCUAUCAACUUCAUAUAGGAGUAGAUCAUGGCAUACUUUCUUAGCUUGUCACUA